rnacentral:rRNA from 1 species
AUUGAACGCUGGCGGCAUGCUUUACACAUGCAAGUCGAACGGCAGCGCGGGCUUCGGCCUGGCGGCGAGUGGCGAACGGGUGAGUAAUGCAUCGGAACGUGCCCAGUAGUGGGGGAUAGCCCGGCGAAAGCCGGAUUAAUACCGCAUACGACCUGAGGGUGAAAGCGGGGGACCGAAAGGCCUCGCGCUAUUUGAGCGGCCGAUGUCGGAUUAGCUAGUUGGUGGGGUAAAGGCUUACCAAGGCGACGUUCCGUAGCUGGUCUGAGAGGACGACCAGCCACACUGGGACUGAGACACGGCCCAGACUCCUACGGGAGGCAGCAGUGGGGAAUUUUGGACAAUGGGGGCAACCCUGAUCCAGCCAUGCCGCGUGCGGGAAGAAGGCCUUCGGGUUGUAAACCGCUUUUGUUCGGGAAGAAAUCCUCUGGGCUAAUACCCCGGGGGGAUGACGGUACCGGAAGAAUAAGCACCGGCUAACUACGUG